rnacentral:rRNA from 1 species
UACGUAGGGUGCAAGCGUUGUCCGGAAUUAUUGGGCGUAAAGAGCUCGUAGGCGGUUUGUCGCGUCUGCUGUGAAAUCUGGGGGCUCAACCCCCAGCCUGCAGUGGGUACGGGCAGACUAGAGUGCGGUAGGGGAGAUUGGAAUUCCUGGUGUAGCGGUGGAAUGCGCAGAUAUCAGGAGGAACACCGAUGGCGAAGGCAGAUCUCUGGGCCGUAACUGGCGCUGAGGAGCGAAAGCAUGGGGAGCGAACAGG